rnacentral:piRNA from 1 species
UGCCAUUAAGAUCAUGAACAUGAUCAAACUC